AUUAUAGAAUAUAUAUGUAA
rnacentral:miRNA from 1 species